AAAGCAGCUAAUGUACAGAAAAAAAAAAAAAAAAAAGAUCAAAUUUGCUUUUAUGAAUUUGCAAAAGUACCCCAAGGCAUUCAGUCAUGUUAAAAUGACAGAUCCUUGACCCGGAUAAACCAGCUAAGGUACAGAAAAAACACACAUCAAAUUUGCUUUUUUGAAUUUGCAAAAGUACCCCAAGGCAUUCAGUCAUGUUAAAAUGACAGAUCCUUGACCCGGAUAAACCAGCUAAGGUACAGAAAAAAACAACAUCUAAUUUGCUUUUUUGAAUUUGCAAAAGAAAAUUAUUUUCUACUGUACCCCAAGGCAUUCAGUCAUGUUAAAAUGACAGAUCCUUGACCCAGAUAAACCAGCUAAGGUACAGAAAAAAAAAAAAAAGAUCAAAUUUGCUUUUAUGAAUUUGCAAAAGUACCCCAAGGCAUUCAGUCAUGUUAAAAUGACAGAUCCUUGAUCCGGAUAAACCAGCUAAGGUACAGAAAAAAAAAAAAAAAAGAUCAAAUUUGCUUUUAUGAAUUUGCAAAAGUACCCCAAGGCAUUCAGUCAUGUUAAAAUGACAGAUCCUUGACCCGGAUAAACCAGCUAAGGUACAGAAAAAACACACAUCAAAUUUGCUUUUUUGAAUUUGCAAAAGUACCCCAAGGCAUUCAGUCAUGUUAAAAUGACAGAUCCUUGACCCGGAUAAACCAGCUAAGGUACAGAAAAAACACACAUCAAAUUUGCUUUUUUGAAUUUGCAAAAGUACCCCAAGGCAUUCAGUCAUGUUAAAAUGACAUGAGAUCCUUGACCCGGAUAAACCAGCUAAGGUACAGAAAAAACACACAUCAAAUUUGCUUUUUUGAAUUUGCAAAAGUACCCCAAGGCAUUCAGUCAUGUUAAAAUGACAUGAGAUCCUUGACCCGGAUAAACCAGCUAAGGUACA